AUAACCUUAUUGUAUGCCUGAAUACUAUGAUCGCAAGAUUGAAACUCAAAAGGCUUGGCUGUUCACUGUUUGAAUCAGAGGAGCGUGUAAUUUAAUACGAUGAUCCGCGUGUCACCUUACCUUUCCUUGAAAGCGGUGUAAGCCGCUCAGGCAUUGCAUGGCCGUCGUCAGGAUAACAAUAAAUGUUAUCCUUAACCCUAUUAUGGAUUAAGUCAGGUGUCAUGGUCUUUAUGGAAAGGGAUAUUAUGCGCUACAUUCUCCUACACAAUAUAUAUAUAGUAAAUUAGGAGGCGGAGAUUCUCUGAAAUGGGAAUCUUAAGUAGGAUUUGAUAGUAAUCGGGAAGUAGAGCGUUCCGGUGAAUUAUAACCCAGUGUUAGCACAAAUCGCCCGUCGUCCCCUUCAAGUUAAGGAUACGAGACGCCCCUAAGAAGGUUAUCCCUCCUUUUCGAGAAUGGGUAAGUCGUAACAUAGUAAGGGUAAGGGAACUUGUUCUUG
rnacentral:rRNA from 1 species